rnacentral:rRNA from 1 species
UACGUAGGGUGCGAGCGUUGUCCGGAAUUACUGGGCGUAAAGAGCUCGUAGGUGGUUUGUCGCGUUGUUCGUGAAAACUCACAGCUUAACUGUGGGCGUGCGGGCGAUACGGGCAGACUGGAGUACUGCAGGGGAGACUGGAAUUCCUGGUGUAGCGGUGGAAUGCGCAGAUAUCAGGAGGAACACCGGUGGCGAAGGCGGGUCUCUGGGCCGAUACUGACGUGGAGGAGCGAAAGCGUGGGGAGC